CUUCUCUCAUACCCCGGUUGGUUAGAGUUGCGCGUGUCUGUAGUGCCACCUGCUGGCUGAGAUGGUGCAGUGCAGGAUUCCACUUUGAGCCUGUUUACCUGACAAAUUUGGCCUGCACUUAACUUCCUUUCUUUCUUCUCAUCUCCAGGUCGAGCCCUCAUAAUCACAGCUCAUUCCCACUGAGUCUCGUCACAACAUGGCUGCCAGUCAGGAGCCUCUCUGCAAGAUGGCCAACACAUCAGAAUCUCCAGCCAUCAUGACCGAC
ensembl:lncRNA